rnacentral:tRNA from 6 species
GUCCCCGUAGCUCAGCUGGAUAGAGCAAUUGCCUCCUAAGCAAUAGGUCGCAGGUUCGACUCCUGCCGGGGACGCAA